CCUACGGGAGGCAGCAGUGGGGAAUAUUGGACAAUGGGGGCAACCCUGAUCCAGCCAUGCCGCGUGAGUGAAGAAGGCCUUCGGGUUGUAAAGCUCUUUCGGCGGGGACGAUGAUGACGGUACCCGCAUAAGAAGCCCCGGCAAACUUCGUGCCAGCAGCCGCGGUAAUACGAAGGGGGCUAGCGUUGUUCGGAAUUACUGGGCGUAAAGCGCGCGUAGGCGGUGAUCUUUGUCAGAGGUGAAAUCCCGAGGCUCAACUUCGGAAUUGCCUUUGAAACGGGAUUGCUUGAGUCCGAGAGAGGAUGGCGGAAUUCCUAGUGUAGAGGUGAAAUUCGUAGAUAUUAGGAAGAACACCGGUGGCGAAGGCGGCCAUCUGGCUCGGUACUGACGCUCAGGCGCGAAAGCGUGGGGAGCAAACAGGAUUAGAUACCCUUGUAGUC
rnacentral:rRNA from 1 species